CCUACGGGUGGCAGCAGUGGGGAAUAUUGCACAAUGGGGGAAACCCUGAUGCAGCGACGCCGCGUGAGUGAAGAAGUAAUUCGUUACGUAAAGCUCUAUCAGCAGGGAAGUAAAUGACGGUACCUGAGUAAGAUGCCCCGGCUAACUACGUGCCAGCAGCCGCGGUAAUACGUAGGGGGCCAGCGUUAUCCGGAUUUACUGGGUGUUAAGGGAGCGUAGACGGUGCGCCAAGUCUGGAGUGAAAUGCUGCAGCUUAACUGCGGAACUGCUUUUGAAACUGGCGAACUAGAGUGCGGGAGGGGUAAGCGGAAUUCCUGGUGUAGCGGUGAAAUGCGUAGAUAUUAGGAAGAACACCGAUGGCGAAGGCAGCUUACUGGACCGUAACUGACGUUGAUGCUCGAAAGCGUGGGGAGCAAACAGGAUUAGAUACCCUGGUAGUC
rnacentral:rRNA from 1 species